GUAUGCUCCGGGUCGUUGUACUCGGGCGAUUUGAUAUGGCCCUUCCCAAUUCGGGGCGAGCUUUCCUUGCUCGGUCGGUUGAGAAGCCUCGGCUCUCCUGAGGACGAGGUCCCCUACUUUGAAGAGCUUGGGCUUGACUCUGGAGUUGUAGUAUUGGGCCGUUUUCUGCUGGUAUCUUGCCAUACGGACCCGGGCGACCUCUCGUGUCUCUUCGACGAGGUCCAAGUUGCUCCUGAGCUGGGAGAAAUUGGUGUCGG
rnacentral:lncRNA from 1 species